UGGGGCCUCCGCCCGCUCGUAGUAAAGCGGAGGCGGCUCGGGGAAGGCGGGAGCGAGAGCCCGCGGCGGGGCUGGGCGAAGAUGGUGGCGGCUACUCCUCCCGCUACCCACGUGGACCUAACACGGCCCCAGAGCUGUCUAAGGAUACUUGCUGAGGAGGAAGUUUUCCUGAGUGGGUAAGUACUUAUAAUUUACUUCCAAGUUUUCAUAAAAACGGAAUUCUGUUGACUUUUACCCUUCAGCUGAAUGAAUCCGAUGUGGUGGGGAUCCUGCACGGGAGAUAGGAGCUUUUUGUAUUUUGUCCACUGUUCCGGGUCUGCCUGAUGAGGUCGGGUUUGGGCCAGCUAUCUUGAACGUCCUGAGAGCGCAGUGCCAAUGCUAUGUGCAGCUUUCAAGCUGUACUGAUAACAUUCUUAGAAGCUGCUUUGUAAGUUGGAUGGUAAAUUUUAAGUUCCAGAUUAAUUUGUAAAGCUAAAAAACGUGGUCCAAGCAGUAAUUAAUCAUUUCAUCAAGUUGCCCCUGGGAUGUGAGGGCGUGGAGAGUUGUUCUCUUAACAGGUACCAGGAGGGUUGGUAGAGGCGCUCUGGUUGCAGCUGUUUCUAAUGAAGGACUAGGUGAAAAGCUGCUGUUUUUUCUAUUUCUCUUACUAUUGUAGAAUGGUGGUCGGUUUUAUUUGUAAAGAGUACUUGUUGAAACUUUCAAAGUGUCUUAAGUGGGAACCAUGGCUUUGGGAUAAUUAAAAACUAAUUUUUUCUUCCCUGCUAGGGAUGAUGUGGAACUUUGCAUGCUUUGUGCCUGUUGAAGACUGGAAGGUGUUGUAAUUGUUGGUUUCAGGUUUGGCAGGAGUCCGGCAUCGCCUUGUCAGCCUGAAGACGGUGACCAGUCAGAAUAAUGUCAAAGUGCUUACAGUGCAGGUAGUGAUAUGCGCAUCUACUGCAGUGAAGGCACUUGUAGCAUUAUGGUGACAGCUGCCUCGGGAGCCACGGGGCGUCACGCGCAGGCCUGCCGCUGCUCAGUGCUUUUUGUUCUAAGGUGCAUCUAGUGCAGAUAGUGAAGUAGAUUAGCAUCUACUGCCCUAAGUGCUCCUUCUGGCAUAAGAAGUGAUGCUUUCAUCCAAUAAUUCAAGUCAAGCAAGUAUCUAGGUGUGUUCAUAGUGUUUAUUUGCAGUCUUCUGUUAGUUUUGCAUAGUUGCACUACAAGAAGAAUGUAGUUGUGCAAAUCUAUGCAAAACUGAUGGUGGCCUGCUAUUUCCUUCAAGUGGCUUGUACUAAUUGUCUGUACUUUUGUUGUGUCGAUGUAGAAUCCGCCUGGUGCAUGCGAUGUGACAGCUCCUGUAGCACUAAAGUGCUUAUAGUGCAGGUAGUGUUUGGUGAUCUACUGCAUUCUGAGCACUUCAAGUACUGCUAGCUGCAGAACUCCAGCGUCGGCCUGUCGCCAGCCCAAGGGUCCUGUCGAGCACUGUUCUAUGGUUAGUUUUGCAGGUUUGCAUCCAGCUGUGUGAUAGUCUGCUGUGCAAAUCCAUGCAAAACUGACUGUGGUAGUGAAAAGUCUGUAGACGAGGAAGGGAGCAUCCAACCCCUUUCUGCACAGGCUGGGACCGGUCGCAAUGCUGUGUGUCCGUGUGGUAUUGCACUUGUCCCGGCCUGUUGAGUUUGGUGGGGAUAGUGACCGGAAGAUUUUGCAAACUAAAAAUUCGGAAGAUUACGACUUCUGCUGUUAAACAUUCAAGAGCUGUGAAACUUUAGGAAAAAAGAACUUGUAACUUUAGUUUUGGCCCUGUGAAAACUUGCUGGUUAUAUUCUGCUUCUUGAAACCAAAUUUUGCCCUCUUUUGGUGCUGAAACAAUUCUGAGUCUGCAUUUUGAGAAAAUGUGAGUGUAACUUUUGAGUUUAAGACCAUUCGGCGUUUUGUAAUUGUAAACUGAUUACAUGCAAGAUGAUGGCCUUCUGCAUUUUGGAUAUGCCGUUUUGCCUUCAGAUCUAGUUCACCAAAUGUGAAAGUUGAUGAAACGGGUCAUUUAAUAUAUUCAAGUAUUUUGAGUUCUGUUUUGUAUACAGCAAUGUGUAAAGAGUUUUUCUUAAAGCAUUGAAUUUAAGAUGAAGAGGCUGUUCAGUGAAUAGUAUCUUAACAAUGAGUUCUUGAUGUAUAAUGGCUGCUGUCUGUAUAUUAGUGUUUUCUUUGUUAGUGGUGCGUGAGUGCUCAUGUGUAAAUUUUCAUGGUGCUUAGACUGUUAGCAUUUAAAAUUAAAAGGGGAGAUAAGAGUGGGCUACACAUUUGAAUUCAUUUUUCUCGAAAGCUGGAGGUGGAUUUACGUUCCUUGCCUCACUCAACCUGAAAUUCUGUACACUGCUAGUCACUUCUGGGCUGGUGCUAUUGAUGGCACUGGAUAGAACUUAAAGGUGGUUACAAUGUUUUUAUCCAUCUUUUCUUUCAUGUGUGAAAAAUUAAAAGUUGUUACAGAUCCACCAUUUUCAUUGUAUUUUGGAGGGAAAAGGCAGAGUUAAUCUGACUUCCAAGGCUUCAGCAGUUAAAUUGCUUGACAGAUUAAGAAACUUUUAGUGUGGACCUUGAAGACUUGAAUAAGCUUUCACCUGUUAUGUGUCAAUUCCUGGGAACUUAAUCUUGGAGUCCGGAAUAGAAAGGUAAGAUUUUUGACAGUUCUGGAGGUGAUUAACUGGAAAAUUUUCAGGAUGAGGAAAUAAUUAGGCAUUAGUAAGAAAUUUAUAUAGCCAAGUUCUUCAACUUUUUUGAAUUGAAGAACAUUGCUUUAAGAUAAAUGGAUGUUAGAAGUUCUGAAACAUCAUAGUUUAUAGUUGCCUGUAAAAGAAUAUUCUGUACUUGUAACGAAAUAAUAAAAUGUUUUUUAAAAUGCUUUAAAAGUGAAAUUGUGAUUUGUGCCCAGCCAGAUGACUUCUUAAGUACACACUGAGUCUUAGUAACAAAAGCUUGAAGUACUUACCCUGUGUGGUGUUCAGGUGUGUUCAAAAUGUCAUUGGAUCUGAACCGAGACUCAAAUCUAAUGGAAUUGUAUGUUAGCAGGGUUGGUUAUUGAGCUGAAGUUGUGUGGGUUAGGAAUUCCUCUGGCUUUAAAAUGGGAAAUUUUGUUUGUGCUUCUAAGAUUUUCUCAGACAUAAGCAUGAAAACAUGAAAGCUGGUGUUAAGUUUUUUUUUUAUGCUCAGUUAACUCACUACAUUUCUGUUUGAAAGAAAAACAGCUUUAAAUUGCACUAACCAUGAAGUUGCUUGAGACUUAGGUUUAAUGGAUAGCCUUAAAACUAUGCUGGUUGGAAUGGAUUUUUUUUUAAAAGCAUGUUAUACAUGUAUUCUGUUUUUAGGCUUAUUUAGAAGAAAAGCACUUUAAUUUGUAAAGCGUUUGAGUGGUAUCUGACUUUACUGAAGUUUUGAGGUCUUAAUUUUUAUAGGCAAGCCUGUGAGUAAGUGCAGCAAGCCUGACUGUCCGUAGGUGGGAGAAUCCUGCAGCGAUUCCUGACAAGGGCAACCUGCAAGCUGCCCGGACGACAGUUUGUCAUGCUAAAGUUUGCUGUGUGUUAAUGAAGUAGUCCUGUUGAUGAUUGACAGCCCUGUGUCGGCUGUCCGGCACUGGAGUGAAGAGCCCCAAGCCAGUCACGCAGCACGAUGAGGCGAGGAGGGCACAGUGCUAGGCCAGUUUGUGUCUGACUGAAAGUAACGUGUCUACUUGAGCCUUUUUAAGUUAUCCUCUGGUUUGGUUUACAUUCUGCUCAAAGCCUGAGUUAAUGUGGUUUUUCCUUUCGGCGUGUCAUGAAUUUGAGUUUUAAGCAUCAUUAAGAAAAGACGUGUUGUCUGAAUCUUAAGACCAUAGCAAGAAAAAUGGUUGACCUGAAGACAUUUAAUAUUCCUUUUCUGAAAGUCUGUACUCGUAAUGACAGUUUGGCCAGGCUGUUGAAUGGCUUUAGUGGAUUUGAUGUUAAGUACUGCAUUUCCAAACUGCCCAGAAUGAAUGUUAAAAUAAAGAUUCUUAUUUUA